rnacentral:piRNA from 1 species
UGAGUGACACAGCUUGUACUUCAGAUCUGC